CUCGUAGGCGGUUCGUCGCGUCCGGUGUGAAAGUCCAUCGCUUAACGGUGGAUCUGCGCCGGGUACGGGCGGGCUGAAGUGCGGUAGGGGAGACUGGAAUUCCCGGUGUAACGGUGGAAUGUGUAGAUAUCGGGAAGAACACCAAUGGCGAAGGCAGGUCUCUGGGCCGUUACUGACGCUGAGGAGCGAAAGCGUGGGGAGCGAACA
rnacentral:rRNA from 1 species